UGAACUUCUAAAAUUUGCGGAUUGGACGAUUAUUAAAAGUUUCUUUUGUAUUUAUAAUAACUAUUUGGUUACAUGUGUGUAAAUAAAAUGUAUAGAGAGUAUGAUGUGUGUAAUAAUCGCGUGCGAAUAAGAGAGUUCCAAGAAAGUAGUAGAUAAGUGACGCCUCUUUCCUCUCGUGCUUUAACGUGAAACGGGAAUCGCAUUUAUCCUCUCCGGCAAUUAAAUUUAUAGAAGCAGAAACACAGAAGCUGAUGUGUAAGUUAUGUAUAUAUUAUAUAUACUAAGUUUGAAGCCGUAGUGAUGUGGAUUGUGAUCAAGAUUAUGGUGUUUCCUUUGAAUAAUAACAGCAGCUAUAAAUAUGGACGCAUUUUAUUGUCAUGAAUUCCAUUUGAUGUGUUUAUAAAAGCUGGAAUACAUAUAUGACGGCAUCACUUACGCAAUUAAUCCAGAUUACCGUGUGAGAAAAAAGAGUAUAAUGGUGCUGGAGAGGUAACUGGGGAAAGGCCUCGACCGUUGAUCAUCGUCGUUGAUCAUCCACACGGCUGUAUUGGCAAUAACAGCAUAAGCAGGAACGGCAAUAGCGAGUGGAAGCAGUGGUAAGGAGCUAGCCUGAAGGCCUAAAACAGAGUGCCCGAAACCAGUACAGAGCACAGGGAAAUACUUGCAGACAACUCCCAGAAGAAAUAGACCAAGAAAAGCAGCCACUGUUGACAACUCCUACCUCAACUAAUCCCCUUGAUAUCUUCUAUAUCUCUGUCUCGGGGCUUCCAGUCCCCACUUCUUCGCCCAGGUCAACUAGCUAUACUAAUACAUGAUCUAGAAGAACACCAGUGCUCUGUUCAGUUUACUGAGUUAAAUAUCUUCAGCAGUACUACACAACAGCCUGGACAGACGAUGUAUAAUACUACACAGAAAAAAAAGUUUCUUGACUGGAGAGCAAAAUUCUUGGCUCAAGAAAAUUUGU